GACGAAGGGGGCUAGCGUUGUUCGGAAUUACUGGGCGUAAAGCGCGUGUAGGCGGUUGUUCAAGUCAGGUGUGAAAGCCUUGAGCUCAACUCAAGAAAUGCACUUGAUACUGGAUGACUAGAGGACCGGAGAGGAUAGUGGAAUUCCCAGUGUAGUGGUGAAAUACGUAGAGAUUGGGAAGAACACCAGUGGCGAAGGCGGCUCGCUGGACCUGACCUGACGCUGAGGCGCGAAGGCGUGGGGAGCGAACGGG
rnacentral:rRNA from 1 species